UACGUAGGGGGCUAGCGUUGUCCGGAAUCAUUGGGCGGAAAGAGCGUGUAGGCGGCCCGGUAAGUCCGCUGUGAAAGUCGGGGGCUCAACCCUCGAAUGCCGGUGGAUACUGUCGGGCUAGAGUGCGGAAGAGGCGAGUGGAAUUCCUGGUGUAGCGGUGAAAUGCGCAGAUAUCAGGAGGAACACCAAUUGCGAAGGCAGCUCGCUGGGACGUAACUGACGCUGAGACGCGAAAGCGUGGGGAGCAAACAGG
rnacentral:rRNA from 1 species